rnacentral:rRNA from 1 species
UUCCUCAAGAUAAAUUUGAGGUAAGACCUGCCCGAUGUAAUUAUCAAUGGCCGCGGUAUCCUGACCGUGCGAAGGUAGCAUAAUCAUUAGUCUCCUAAUUAGAGGCUGGUAUGAAUGGUCAAACGAGAAAAUAACUGUCUCCCACAUAACAUUUGAAUUUCAUUUUUAAGUGAAAAAGCUUAAAUUUAUCUGAAGGACGAUAAGACCCUAUAGAGCUUUUACGUUGGGGCGACGACAAGACAAAAAAUAACUCUUAAUUUUUUAAACAAUUAAAAUUGAAAAACUGAUCCUUAAAGAAAGAUCAAAUGAACAAGUUACCUUAGGGAUAACAGCGUAAUCCUUUUUGAGAGUUCUAAUCAACAAAAGGGUUUGCGACCUCGAUGUUGGAUUAAGAGUUCACUAUGGUGCAGCAGCUAUAGUAGAUGGUCUGUUCGACCUUUAAUCUCUUACA